rnacentral:rRNA from 1 species
GACAAACGCUGGCGGCAUGCCUAAUACAUGCAAGUCGAGCGAACAGAUGAAGUGCUUGCACUUUUGACGUUAGCGGCGAACGGGUGAGUAACACGUAAGGAAUCUACCUAUAAGCGGGGGAUAACAUUCGGAAACGGGUGCUAAUACCGCAUAAUAUCUUCUUCCGCAUGGAAGAAGAUUGAAAGACGGCUCUGCUGUCACUUAUAGAUGACCUUGCGGUGCAUUAGUUAGUUGGUGGGGUAACGGCCUACCAAGACGAUGAUGCAUAGCCGACCUGAGAGGGUGAUCGGCCACAUUGGGACUGAGACACGGCCCAAACUCCUACGGGAGGCAGCAGUAGGGAAUCUUCCGCAAUGGGCGAAAGCCUGACGGAGCAAUGCCGCGUGAGUGAAGAAGGCCUUCGGGUCGUAAAACUCUGUUAUAAGAGAAGAACAAAUUGUAGAGUAACUGCUACAGUCUUGACGGUAUCUUAUCAGAAAGCCACGGCUAACUACGUGCCAGCCGCCGCAGUAA